AGUGAACGCUGGCGGUAGGCCUAACACAUGCAAGUCGAACGGCAGCACAGUAAGAGCUUGCUCUUACGGGUGGCGAGUGGCGGACGGGUGAGGAAUACAUCGGAAUCUACUUUUUCGUGGGGGAUAACGUAGGGAAACUUACGCUAAUACCGCAUACGACCUACGGGUGAAAGCAGGGGAUCUUCGGACCUUGCGCGAUUGAAUGAGCCGAUGUCGGAUUAGCUAGUUGGCGGGGUAAAGGCCCACCAAGGCGACGAUCCGUAGCUGGUCUGAGAGGAUGAUCAGCCACACUGGAACUGGGACACGGUCCAGACUCCUACGGGAGGCAGCAGUGGGGAAUAUUGGACAAUGGGCGCAAGCCUGGUCCAGCCAUACCGCGUGGGUGGAGAAGGCCUUCGGGUUGUAAAGCCCUUUUGUUGGGAAAGAAAAGCAGCAGGUUAAUACCCCGCUGUUCUGACGGUACCCAAAGAAUAAGCACCGGCUAACUUCGUG
rnacentral:rRNA from 1 species